ACGUUACCCGCAGAAGAAGCACCGGCUAACUCCGUGCCAGCAGCCGCGGUAAUACGGAGGGUGCAAGCGUUAAUCGGAAUUACUGGGCGUAAAGCGCACGCAGGCGGUCUGUCAAGUCGGAUGUGAAAUCCCCGGGCUCAACCUGGGAACUGCAUUCGAAACUGGCAGGCUUGAGUCUUGUAGAGGGGGGUAGAAUUCCAGGUGUAGCGGUGAAAUGCGUAGAGAUCUGGAGGAAUACCGGUGGCGAAGGCGGCCCCCUGGACAAAGACUGACGCUCAGGUGCGAAAGCGUGGGGAGCAAA
rnacentral:rRNA from 1 species